GGUUAAGCGACUAAGCGUACACGGUGGAUGCCCUGGCAGUCAGAGGCGAUGAAGGACGUGCUAAUCUGCGAAAAGCGUCGGUAAGGUGAUAUGAACCGUUAUAACCGGCGAUGUCCGAAUGGGGAAACCCAGUGCAAUUCGUUGCACUAUCGUUAACUGAAUACAUAGGUUAACGAGGCGAACCGGGGGAACUGAAACAUCUAAGUACCCCGAGGAAAAGAAAUCAACCGAGAUUCCCCCAGUAGCGGCGAGCGAACGGGGAGCAGCCCAGAGUCUGAAUCAGCUUGUGUGUUAGUGGAACGGUCUGGAAAGUCCGACGGUACAGGGUGAUAGUCCCGUACACCAAAAUGCACAGGUUGUGAACUCGAAGAGUAGGGCGGGACACGUGGUAUCCUGUCUGAAUAUGGGGGGACCAUCCUCCAAGGCUAAAUACUCCUGACUGACCGAUAGUGAACCAGUACCGUGAGGGAAAGGCGAAAAGAACCCCGGCGAGGGGAGUGAAAAAGAACCUGAAACCGUGUACGUACAAGCAGUGGGAGCACCUUCGGGUGUGACUGCGUACCUUUUGUAUAAUGGGUCAGCGACUUAUAUUCUGUAGCAAGGUUAACCGUAUAGGGGAGCCGCAGGGAAACCGAGUCUUAACUGGGCGUUAAGUUGCAGGGUAUAGACCCGAAACCCGGUGAUCUAGCCAUGGGCAGGUUGAAGGUUGGGUAACACUAACUGGAGGACCGAACCGACUAAUGUUGAAAAAUUAGCGGAUGACUUGUGGCUGGGGGUGAAAGGCCAAUCAAACCGGGAGAUAGCUGGUUCUCCCCGAAAGCUAUUUAGGUAGCGCCUCGUGAAUUCAUCUUCGGGGGUAGAGCACUGUUUCGGCUAGGGGGUCAUCCCGACUUACCAACCCGAUGCAAACUACGAAUACCGAAGAAUGUUAUCACGGGAGACACACGGCGGGUGCUAACGUCCGUCGUGAAGAGGGAAACAACCCAGACCGCCAGCUAAGGUCCCAAAGUCAUGGUUAAGUGGGAAACGAUGUGGGAAGGCACAGACAGCCAGGAUGUUGGCUUAGAAGCAGCCAUCAUUUAAAGAAAGCGUAAUAGCUCACUGGUCGAGUCGGCCUGCGCGGAAGAUGUAACGGGGCUAAACCAUGCACCGAAGCUGCGGCAGCGACACUAUGUGUUGUUGGGUAGGGGAGCGUUCUGUAAGCCUGCGAAGGUGACCUGUGAGGGUUGCUGGAGGUAUCAGAAGUGCGAAUGCUGACAUAAGUAACGAUAAAGCGGGUGAAAAGCCCGCUCGCCGGAAGACCAAGGGUUCCUGUCCAACGUUAAUCGGGGCAGGGUGAGUCGACCCCUAAGGCGAGGCCGAAAGGCGUAGUCGAUGGGAAACAGGUUAAUAUUCCUGUACUUGGUGUUACUGCGAAGGGGGGACGGAGAAGGCUAUGUUAGCCGGGCGACGGUUGUCCCGGUUUAAGCAUGUAGGCUGAUUGUCCAGGCAAAUCCGGAUAAUCAAGGCUGAGGUGUGAUGACGAGGCACUACGGUGCUGAAGUAACAAAUGCCCUGCUUCCAGGAAAAGCCUCUAAGCAUCAGGUAACAUCAAAUCGUACCCCAAACCGACACAGGUGGUCAGGUAGAGAAUACCAAGGCGCUUGAGAGAACUCGGGUGAAGGAACUAGGCAAAAUGGUGCCGUAACUUCGGGAGAAGGCACGCUGGUGUGUAGGUGAAGUCCCUGCGGAUGGAGCUGAGACCAGUCGAAGAUACCAGCUGGCUGCAACUGUUUAUUAAAAACACAGCACUGUGCAAACACGAAAGUGGACGUAUACGGUGUGACGCCUGCCCGGUGCCGGAAGGUUAAUUGAUGGGGUUAUCCGUAAGGAGAAGCUCUUGAUCGAAGCCCCGGUAAACGGCGGCCGUAACUAUAACGGUCCUAAGGUAGCGAAAUUCCUUGUCGGGUAAGUUCCGACCUGCACGAAUGGCGUAAUGAUGGCCAGGCUGUCUCCACCCGAGACUCAGUGAAAUUGAACUCGCUGUGAAGAUGCAGUGUACCCGCGGCAAGACGGAAAGACCCCGUGAACCUUUACUAUAGCUUGACACUGAACAUUGAGCCUUGAUGUGUAGGAUAGGUGGGAGGCUUUGAAGCGUGGACGCCAGUCUGCGUGGAGCCAACCUUGAAAUACCACCCUUUAAUGUUUGAUGUUCUAACGUUGGCCCCUUACCGGGGUUGCGGACAGUGUCUGGUGGGUAGUUUGACUGGGGCGGUCUCCUCCCAAAGCGUAACGGAGGAGCACGAAGGUUAGCUAAUCCUGGUCGGACAUCAGGAGGUUAGUGCAAUGGCAUAAGCUAGCUUGACUGCGAGCGUGACGGCGCGAGCAGGUGCGAAAGCAGGUCAUAGUGAUCCGGUGGUUCUGAAUGGAAGGGCCAUCGCUCAACGGAUAAAAGGUACUCCGGGGAUAACAGGCUGAUACCGCCCAAGAGUUCAUAUCGACGGCGGUGUUUGGCACCUCGAUGUCGGCUCAUCACAUCCUGGGGCUGAAGUAGGUCCCAAGGGUAUGGCUGUUCGCCAUUUAAAGUGGUACGCGAGCUGGGUUUAGAACGUCGUGAGACAGUUCGGUCCCUAUCUGCCGUGGGCGCUGGAGAAUUGAGGGGGGCUGCUCCUAGUACGAGAGGACCGGAGUGGACGCAUCACUGGUGUUCGGGUUGUCAUGCCAAUGGCACUGCCCGGUAGCUAAAUGCGGAAGAGAUAAGUGCUGAAAGCAUCUAAGCACGAAACUUGCCCCGAGAUGAGUUCUCCCUGAGACUUUAAGUCUCCUGAAGGAACGUUGAAGACGACGACGUUGAUAGGCCGGGUGUGUAAGCGCAGCGAUGCGUUGAGCUAACCGGUACUAAUGAACCGUGAGGCUUAACCUU
rnacentral:rRNA from 1 species